rnacentral:rRNA from 1 species
GACGAACGCUGGCGGCGUGCCUAAUACAUGCAAGUUGAGCGCUGAAGGUUGGUACUUGUACCAACUGGAUGAGCAGCGAACGGGUGAGUAACGCGUGGGGAAUCUGCCUUUGAGCGGGGGACAACAUUUGGAAACGAAUGCUAAUACCGCAUAAAAACUUUAAACACAAGUUUUAAGAUUGAAAGAUGCAAUUGCAUCACUCAAAGAUGAUCCCGCGUUGUAUUAGCUAGGUGGUUAGGUAAAGGCUCACCAAGGCGAUGAUACAUAGCCGACCUGAGAGGGUGAUCGGCCACAUUGGGACUGAGACACGGCCCAAACUCCUACGGGAGGCAGCAGUAGGGAAUUUUCGGCAAUGGACGAAAGGCUGACCGAGCAACGCCGCGUGAGUGAAGAAGGGUCUCGGAUCGUAAAACUCUGUUGGUAGAGAAGAACGUUGGUGAGAGUGGAAAGCUCAUCAAGUGACGGUAACUACCCAGAAAGGGACGGCUAACUACGUG